UGCAUAGCCGACCUGAGAGGGUGAUCGGCCACACUGGAACUGAGACACGGUCCAGACUCCUACGGGAGGCAGCAGUAGGGAAUCUUCCGCAAUGGGCGAAAGCCUGACGGAGCAACGCCGCGUGAGUGAUGAAGGUCUUCGGAUCGUAAAACUCUGUUAUUAGGGAAGAACAUAUGUGUAAGUAACUGUGCACAUCUUGACGGUACCUAAUCAGAAAGCCACGGCUAACUACGUGCCAGCAGCCGCGGUAAUACGUAGGUGGCAAGCGUUAUCCGGAAUUAUUGGGCGUAAAGCGCGCGUAGGCGGUUUUUUAAGUCUGAUGUGAAAGCCCACGGCUCAACCGUGGAGGGUCAUUGGAAACUGGAAAACUUGAGUGCAGAAGAGGAAAGUGGAAUUCCAUGUGUAGCGGUGAAAUGCGCAGAGAUAUGGAGGAACACCAGUGGCGAAGGCGACUUUCUG
rnacentral:rRNA from 1 species